rnacentral:rRNA from 1 species
GACGAACGCUGGCGGCGUGCUUAACACAUGCAAGUCGAACGGAAAGGCCCUGCUUGCAGGGUACUCGAGUGGCGAACGGGUGAGUAACACGUGGGUGAUCUGCCCUGCACUUCGGGAUAAGCCUGGGAAACUGGGUCUAAUACCGGAUAGGAGCCAUUUUUAGUGUGAUGGUUGGAAAGUUUUUUCGGUGUAGGAUGAGCUCGCGGCCUAUCAGCUUGUUGGUGGGGUAAUGGCCUACCAAGGCGGCGACGGGUAGCCGGCCUGAGAGGGUGGACGGCCACACUGGGACUGAGAUACGGCCCAGACUCCUACGGGAGGCAGCAGUGGGGAAGAUUGCACAAUGGGCGCAAGCCUGAUGCAGCGACGCCGCGUGGGGGAUGACGGCCUUCGGGUUGUAAACUCCUUUCGCUAGGGACGAAGCUUUUUGUGACGGUACCUAGAUAAGAAGCACCGGCUAACUACGUG